rnacentral:lncRNA from 1 species
GACUUCGAAGGACUAAGUAUGGGACUGUGAGGAGGAGCUCCCUGCAGACAACUACCCAUCAGAGAAGCAGUAAAAUCAACCCCCCAACUCCCUUCCACCCAGAGAGAUAUCUAGAGUGUCAAAUCACCUGGAGGGCUUGUGACGCCACAGAUCACUACAUCUCAUGCCAAGUUUCUGAUUCAGUAGGUCUGGAGAGGGCCAGAGGUUUUGCAUUUCCAACAAGCUCCCAGGCGAUGCCCAUGUUGAUGCAGUUUAAAGCAGACAACCUGAAAUUAAAACACAGAAAUAAACAACUGAAGAGGGUCUCCUUUGCCUUUCUCAGUGUGGAAGAGAUGACUUGUACCAGGGUCCAAGUCUUCAAGAUGAUGGAGAGGGAAGGAGAUGCAAUCAUGGAUACGCUCUGAAAGAUUGUUUACAGACUGCUUGGUGACUGUGCAACUUUUUUUCUUUUAGUACCAACAAGUGGUACCAAGCGCCAUUUCUCUUUGAAUAAUCCCAGGGCUUCGUGCCAGUGUUUGAUUUUGCAAUCAGUCCUUCUGGUAGCACUUUAAAUUAAUGUUCGCACAUAUGGAUUUAAUUGGAAUUUAAUAAGACACUGCAUAAGUAAAAACCAUGUGAUACUAAAAACAUAUUUACUGAAGAUUAACCACCAUGGAGAUACAAAUCUAUUAUGUAGAAACCCCAAUAAAUAUUUUUAGAAUGUUAAAUCAUGUGUAAACAUUGUGUGUUGCUUCAAGUAAAUCCAGAUCUUCAGCCUCAUUGGUUAUUCUCUCUUCUAAGUAAACGUAGCUGUUUACUACAACGAACUUCAUUUUCUUCUUAGACAAUUGGUUUGGCAAAAUUCACAGUCAGGGAAAAAUAUCCUCAACCUUAAUGUAAAGCAGACUUUCUCCUUCACUAAGUCUGGGGUGGCACCUGAGAAUUUGCAUUUCUAACGUGGUCUUGGGUGAUGCUAAUGGUCUGGGGACCACACCCUGAGAAGCACUGAUAUCAAGCAUUGUCUUGUUUUAAGAUUAAAGGAAGACUUUGGUUUCCUCUGCCCUAAAGUAAUGUCUGGUCUUAGGUAAAAUCUGCAGUAACAGGUUAAAGACGGCCACACAUGCUUUGUCACUGUCCACAUUGAGAGCUGUCAUGCUGUGGGUUAGCCCAAGCAGAGAUCUCCACGUGAAUAAGAGUCGAGGCCACCGGCCAACAGCCUUGGCUGAGUUCCCAGGCAACAAUGAGCACCACUUGCCAGCCAUGUGAGUGAGCCUUUCUGGACAUGGAGCUGCCUCAGUCUACACAACAUGGAGCAGAGAUGAGCCAUUUCUGCUAAGCCCUGCCCAAAUUACAAAACCAGACUAAAUAAAUUGUUGUUUUAAA